CGAUCAAAUAACAUUUUGUAUUUCUCUGCUCCUCGUUAUCAGUCUAAAAUGGAAAAUAAAGCUUUCAGAUUUUCUGCCCACUCCGCUGUGCGUACCCUCUAAUCUGAACGGAAACUGUACGAACUGGUUUCACUGAAAGCCUUCUGCUCCAUCUUAAAGCAACAGCUGAAAUCCUUCGAACAUUGUUUUAAAUCUUAAAGUUUUACUACUUUAAAUGUUAUACUGACGGAUAAAUCUCCUCUGAAAACCCAAGAAGCAUGAGCUUACGCUACGUUUACUGAUCUCUUUUUACACCUUUGUGCUACUUUUAGUCUUGAUGGGUUAUCUUUAAGUUUUGAUUGCUAUAUUAUUUUGAAACCGUGUUUUGCGCUGCAGGCUGCCUUGGUCAGGACAUUAUUGCAAAAGAGAUAUGAGUUCUUCCUGGUUUAAAAAAAAGUAAAUAAAAAUAACUUGUAUGAUUACUAUAAUAUUUGGUUUAGAAGAAAGCUCAGUUGAAAAGCCUUGAAUAUUACUGAAGCACUUAAAAAGAAUCUAAAUGCUUUACUAAAAUCCAAGAUGUGAAAUUGGUCACAGAAGUUUUAUUCUACACUAUACAUCACUUAAUCCGCCUUCAGUGUUACGGGGGAUUAAAAUAAACCGUUGCACGUUCUCUUUUACCUUCAUUUCUGGAUAAAGACCUUCUCAAAACAUGUGACUGACUGAAUCUGCUCACUUCAACAGAUUGAUGCACUUCUUAAUGCGGUGUAACCUAAAUGAGGGAAGAGACGGUUUCCUUCUGAAGUGGAUGUGGGGAGAAAAAAAACAAGCUCAGCAGAGACAGCCUCGUGAAAAUGAAACACUACCUGCCUUCAACUACAAGUCAUUAUUCUCCGUGACCUUCAGCAUGUUUAGAAGGAGAUCUGCUCUGGGUGUCCAGACAUGUGAGGAAAGCCACAUAUUUCUCAGCGCUCCUUCUCUGCCGAAGCAAACGAACAGCUCAGCUAACCGAAGCCGCCGAGGCUUCAACCCAACAGUAAUCGCCGCUUCGUAAAUUCAGAUGAGAGCGAGAGGUUUCCUUCUAGUCCCUGGUAUCCAUUCCUCUCCCUCCUCCCUGUGAUCCAUGUUAUCAUAUGUCAUUAUAAUGGCAUUUCACUUUGCUAACCAACAGCCAAGGAACAUAACAGCCAUUCAUCGGGGAGCUGUAAAUUAAACGACAGUCUGCUCUGCAGUAUAGAUUAUUCUACCGUCCUAAAAAAAUAUUGUCUGCUGUUCCCAUUGAUUGUACCGGUGCGCCAAACUGAGCGAUGCAUUCCUCGGUGCUGAAUAAAUGGAGUUUACCACAUAGACGUCGACGGGUCCCCGCCGUUCACGUGGAAAAGGCUGUCCUGAAUCAUAGCCAUCUCAAAUGCUUUGGAUUUAGUGUUUGUUUGCUGUGUGGCAGCAAGAUGUGUUUUUGAAGAUGCUUCCCUUAAAGCAAAUCCUUCAUCAAAGACAGCUGCAGGUCUCUUCCAAGUACACCAAGUACAACUUCCUACACCAUAUGAAACAAGAUGUGGGCUUCCUGUCCAAACGUGCUGACUGGACUUUGUGCCGGAUGCUGAGACGAAAGGAUCUGCCCCUUUAGAGAUUUAUUCUGGUCUUGUUUUAAUUUUGGGGUCAGACCUAAACGCUUCAGAUCAUCUAUCACAUUAAUAUCAGAGACAGAUAACCAGAGCGGACAGCAGUUUACAAAUUAUGAUCUCAUUAAUUGUGUGUUGAAAAUCCAUCUUAAAACAACCUGGUCUUUAGUAAAAAAAAAAAAAAAAAUAGAAAGAAAAAAAAAAGUAAUUACCACUUGCUCAAUCCUAAAUAACCUGUAAUUAACAACAUUUUUAUGAAAAUUGAGUUCAACAUGGCACACGUCGCCCAUCUUCCUACAUCUCCUAUGGAACCAAGAAAUCACUUAAAAUAUGAUAACGUCCUGUUGAUCUUCAUGAUGAAUGCAUUAUUUUUGCUCACAUUAUUUUUGCAGAAAAUUUGUGACCUCAAGAGCAAGCACUCUUGGUCCACCACACAAUAAAGCUUAAAACAUGAAAAGCUCUUAGAGUGGCCUAGUCAAAGUCCGGACACUAAUCUGACUCAGAUGCUGGACCAUCACCUUAAACAUUGAACAGAAAAUUUUAAAUUUCUGCAAAGAAGAGUGGGCCAUAGCUGCCAGUAAGACCAAAGACUUGAUGGCAGCUGUUGCUGCUAAGGGCGGAACAACCAGCUGUUAGCUUCUCAGGGCCAUUACUUUCACACGGGGCCAGGUUAGUUUUCAUGGCUUCCCUUCAUAAAUGGAGUCACCGUUUGAAAACUGCAUUUUAACUUCACUCAAGCAACCUUCAUCUGCUGUAAAAAGAAAAAAAACUGUUUGACGAUCUGAAACAUUUAGGUGUAAUAAAAUGGAGAAAGCGAGGAAACCUGAAAGGAGAAAGUGCCGUCUCUGCACCGUGUUUGACGCACAGAUCUGCACGCAUUUUUUUUUUCACUGGUUGGGAUUUCUUCUUCCUCCACAGUGUUUGGCUCGACCUUUCGGGCUGUUCUCCAUACAUCUGCCGCAUGUCAGCGUUGAAGCGUUUAAGCUAUUAACAUCUCCUGCUCUACUGCAAUGGUGUCUGGAUCAUUUAGUAGAGUAAAUAGAAGAAAUAUAAGUGAAUAAAUAUGGUUGCUCGAGCUCUCCUAAGGCUUCUCUCCUUGUCACAUGGGGUCUCACGCUGUGAUAUUGUGAUAGCUAUGCAGUGUUUAUGGAGACAGGGAGGAUAAAUAAAUAUUUGAAUAAAAGUGCCAGCAGACCAAGUGGUGGAGUCAUGCUGCUUAAAUUGUGCAUUAAGAGGAUUAUAAACCAAGCUGAAAUAUUCUGUAAAGGCAUUCCUCUUUGCUGUCAUCACUAUUGAUCAGCUCUAGCGAAGGCCAUAAAAACAUGGAAACAUUUUUUGAAAAUGUUGAUACUAUUGUUGUUCACUUUAAUGCACACUAGCUGCAAUACUAAAAAUCAACCAUCGAAACGGCAUCUGGAUUUGUUGAGAGUUUAUAAAAGCAAUAAAAAAUAUCUCCUGCAAACAUCCAACCAAAAAAAACUAAAAAAAAAAAAA